rnacentral:tRNA from 1 species
GUGGCUAUAGCUCAGUCUGGUAGAGCAACGGAUAUACAACAUCCGUGCGUCGUUGGUUCGAAUCCAGCUAGCCGCACCA